UCAUAAGAAAAAUGGUCACCCUUCCCAAACAAAAUGGCCGCUGUGACUAAACAAUCCUCGAGAAAUGGAGUGGAAAAGUACCACCAGACUUGGUCCAGAAUUGGCUGGUACUGAAUGAGUUAAAUAACUCGGGUUGAUGAAGCACAAUGUUUGAGAAAGAUCAGCAAGCUGUGCAGAAGCUCGAUAAUGAUCAUUUUAAUCAUGUGCGCUGAAGUUGGGAAACAUCUAAAACAUGCAGGAUGUUGGCCCUCAAGAACCGAUUUGAUUCGCUCACACACAC